GGCGCUGUGGCCGAGUGGUUAAGGCGACAGAUUAGAACUACAGGUUAUUUAUCUGUUCCGCGUUGCGGGCGCAGGUUCAAGUCCUGCCGGCGUCG
rfam:Neolentinus lepideus HHB14362 ss-1 unplaced genomic scaffold NEOLEscaffold_20, whole genome shotgun sequence.